UGGGGAAUAUUGCACAAUGGGCGCAAGCCUGAUGCAGCCAUGCCGCGUGUGUGAAGAAGGCCUUCGGGUUGUAAAGCACUUUCAGCGAGGAGGAAGGUGGUGAACUUAAUACGUUCAUCAAUUGACGUUACUCGCAGAAGAAGCACCGGCUAACUCCGUGCCAGCAGCCGCGGUAAUACGGAGGGUGCAAGCGUUAAUCGGAAUUACUGGGCGUAAAGCGCACGCAGGCGGUUUGUUAAGUCAGAUGUGAAAUCCCCGGGCUCAACCUGGGAACUGCAUUUGAAACUGGCAAGCUAGAGUCUCGUAGAGGGGGGUAGAAUUCCAGGUGUAGCGGUGAAAUGCGUAGAGAUCUGGAGGAAUACCGGUGGCGAAGGCGGCCCCCUGGACGAAGACUGACGCUCAGGUGCGAAAAGCGUGGGGAGCAAACAGGAUUAGAUACCCCUGGUAGUCCACGCUGUAAACGAUGUCGAUUUUGGAGGUUGUGCCCUUGAGGCGUGGCUUCCGGAGCUAACGCGUUAAAUCGACCGCCUGGGGAGUACGGCCGCAAGGUUAAAACUUAAAGGAAUUGACGGGGUC
rnacentral:rRNA from 1 species